rnacentral:sRNA from 1 species
GCAGGCAGAAGAAAGCGUUUCCAUAUAAGGGGUACCUCCAGGGGAGUAAAUCUCUCAACAGCUAAAACAAGCUAUAAGGUAAUGGUAUUGGCUUAAAGAGUGUUGACACCAUAAACAACCUGCCAUCAGCUGGAAUGAAGACGUGUGAAACAUAUUGAGUGAAAUCACUAGCGUUAGACAUGCGGAAGCCAUAUCUACUUGGCUAUAUCCACCCAUAAUUAAAACACCGCCAAACCUGGGGAAGUAAUGCACAUGAGUUGGCCACACAUCGCGAAACUGCACAUAUCCUGACGCUAAUAAAGCAGGCUCCCGAGAUUUUUU